CACCUUUUGUAUUUUUUUCUAGAUCAUAAGCAACUCUCUGCUUGACUUAGAAGGCUGCAAAGCCCUUACAGAAAUCUAAAGCAAGCACCAAAGUAGUAAUGCUGGGAGAGAAUUUGGAGCUGCCCCAUGCCAGUUUUCAGGUCACCGUACUGGGGCUAGGAAGGACCUCUGGCUCCAUGUUUCUGGGCUUCUCCUGUCCAAGAUGGAAUUUUCUGGAUGUUUAGGAACCAAAAGUACACUCAGAUAUAACCAAUUCAUGCCUUAUAUCAGCAGACUAAGCAUAUGCCGACAGUAUGAAAUUCUUGUAUAUUCAAGCAUUUCACUUCAGUGCAACAGUGAAAAAGUGGCCUGUUUUGAAAGUGGGAAGAGGUUAAUGGAAUCAUUUUCAAGUAUGCUGAGCUGGAUCCUGAGAGUUAAGAAGACUGAGCCAUUUUGGCUGUGUGUUUUAUAAGCCAUACGUAUCUACAGAUGCCAGAAAAAAGUUCAAAAAUCAUAUUAGGAACCCUAGACUGCUUUUUCUACUUCACUAGGUACAAUUUUCAAGGUCUUUAUAAGCCAGGAGAACCCCUUCCUCCCCACAAAGCCAAUAAAAGACCAAACUGGAGGGCUAAAGGGAAAAAC
rnacentral:lncRNA from 1 species